rnacentral:rRNA from 1 species
AACGAACGCUGGCGGCAUGCCUAACACAUGCAAGUCGAACGAGACCUUCGGGUAUAGUGGCGCACGGGUGCGUAACGCGUGGGAACCUGCCCUUAGGUUCGGAAUAACUCCCCGAAAGGGGUGCUAAUACCGGAUAAUGUCUUCGAACCAAAGAUUUAUCGCCUUUGGAUGGGCCCGCGUUGGAUUAGCUAGUUGGUAGGGUAAAAGCCUACCAAGGCGACGAUCCAUAGCUGGUCUGAGAGGAUGAUCAGCCACACUGGGACUGAGACACGGCCCAGACUCCUCCGGGAGGCAGCAGUGGGGAAUAUUGGACAAUGGGCGAAAGCCUGAUCCAGCAAUGCCGCGUGAGUGAUGAAGGCCUUAGGGUUGUAAAGCUCUUUUACCCGGGAUGAUAAUGACAUUACCGGGAGAAUAAGCACCGGCUAACUCCGUG